CACUUUGGGUCAGACUGUCGUUGAGUUUAUAGAGAGAGCCCUGCUUCUUAACACUGAUGGAUUUGUCCUGAGAAUAAUGAAGGCACGGAGACCAGGACCAGGAUUUAAGCAAAUACAACAGCACAGCACAAGUGACAAGCUCCCCUGCAUUGCAGCAUAAAUCUUGGCCACACGUGACCUGUCUUUUGCUUUUUUCCUUCUGACUUGGUGUGAGGACAAGGGGAUGAUGAUUCUGUCUCUUCUCUCGCCCUAGAGGAGAACAGAUCUGCUAAGAGAGGAGGAAGAUAACUUCUGUACUGGCAAUUGAAGGACACUUUUAAUAUUCUCAGAUUUACCAAGUCAAUGAUAUUAAAUCCCAGUUUAUACAGCAAUGUUUUUCAUGUGAGUGUGUUCUCAUCACUCCUUCUCCUAGUAAAUCCUGUGUUACACUUAUUUUUUGCUACCUUUUACAAUAUCCAUCUGCUUUCAAUUCCUUUAUUGCUACUGGGAAAUCAAACUAGUUCAUGAUUUUU